GAGGCGCAGGGCGGCGGGAAGAUGGCGGCCGGCGCUGGGGCGUUGUGGUGUCAUGGCGCUCCUCCUGCUGGGCUCGGUCGGCUCCCUGCCGCCGCGCUGCUCCUCGCGGGCCUGUCCUCAUGUUUUCAAGUCUCCCUGUAAGAACUGAGGCCUCAGAGCUUCACUUCUAUUUCUUACCAUUUUGUCUAAAAUGUGAAGGAAAGCAAAACCUUGGCUCACAGAUAUACGUGACCCAUCUGGUUGUGUCCAUGGGGCGCUGGAGCCUGAACAGUCUGAGUCCUUCACGGCUCUGCAUCGCCGCCUGUACUGCGUGUCGGCUGUGGUGCAGGCAGAGCAGAGCUGAUGCAUCAUGAGGUUCAGCAUCUUGCCCUGGGAUCUUCCUUCAUCUCCCAUUUGGAAUAGAAUGUGCUGUUCACUGCAUUAAUGGGAGUUUUGUGUGAAAGGGACUUUGUUGAUGAUGGUGCUGCUGAAAGAAAAAAUACUUCACAGAACCUUGUCAGGAAUCACAGCUCUUUAGAAGACUCAUCCCCACGCUGUUGCCUGCACAUCAAGCCUGCCUGUUUCCACUCUGCCCUCAGGACUUCUGCCUAGGGGAUUCUAUCAGCCUCCCUUGGGGACUCAGAUCUUAAUCACACCGUGUGAUCACAAAUGACUUCAGUGUUUGUUUGGGCAGAAUCGGUUUUUUACUGGGCACAGUGAAUUAAUUCUCCAAGCCUUGCCUUGGACAGCAAUGCCUUCAUGAAAAUUGAUUUAAAUAUUAUUAAAGCAUAUUAACUAACAUUAAUAAAUAAAGUAUUUGAAAAUGC